UGGGGAAUAUUGCACAAUGGGGGAAACCCUGAUGCAGCGACGCCGCGUGAGCGAAGAAGGUUUUCGAAUCGUAAAGCUCUGUCCUAUGAGAAGAUAAUGACGGUAUCAUAGGAGGAAGCCCCGGCUAAAUACGUGCCAGCAGCCGCGGUAAUACGUAUGGGGCGAGCGUUGUCCGGAAUUAUUGGGCGUAAAGGGUACGUAGGCGGUCUAUUAAGUCAGGUGUGAAAGCGUGAGGCUUAACCUCAUUAAGCACUUGAAACUGAUAGACUUGAGUGAAGGAGAGGAAAGUGGAAUUCCUAGUGUAGCGGUGAAAUGCGUAGAUAUUAGGAGGAAUACCGGUGGCGAAGGCGGGUCUCUGGGCCGUUACUGACGCUGAGGAGCGAAAGCGUGGGGAGCGAACAGG
rnacentral:rRNA from 1 species